GACGAACGCUGGCGGCGUGCUUAACACAUGCAAGUCGAACGGAAAGGCCCUGCUUUUGUGGGGUGCUCGAGUGGCGAACGGGUGAGUAACACGUGAGUAACCUGCCCUUGACUUUGGGAUAACUUCAGGAAACUGGGGCUAAUACCGGAUAGGAUCUCCUGCUGCACGGUGGGGGUUGGAAAGAUUCGGCUGUUGGGGAUAGACUCGCGGCUUAUCGGCUUGUUGGUGGGGUAGUGGCUUACCAAGGCUUCGACGGGUAGCCGGCCUGAGAGGGUGACCGGCCACAUUGGGACUGAGAUACGGACCAGACUCCUACGGGAGGCAGCAGUGGGGAAUAUUGCACAGUGGGCGGACGCCUGAUACAGCAACGCCGCGUGCGGGAUGCCGGCCUUCGGGUUGUAAACCGAUUUCGCCUGUGACGAAGCGUGCGUGACGGUAAUGAGUAAAGAAGCACCGGCUAACUACGUG
rnacentral:rRNA from 1 species